AGUGAGCGCUGGCGGUAGGCCUAACACAUGCAAGUCGAACGGCAGCACAGUAAGAGCUUGCUCUUACGGGUGGCGAGUGGCGGACGGGUGAGGAAUACAUCGGAGUCUACUUUUUCGUGGGGGAUAACGUAGGGAAACUUACGCUAAUACCGCAUACGACCUACGGGUGAAAGCAGGGGAUCUUCGGACCUUGCGCGAUUGAAUGAGCCGAUGUCGGAUUAGCUAGUUGGCGGGGUAAAGGCCCACCAAGGCGACGAUCCGUAGCUGGUCUGAGAGGAUGAUCAGCCACACUGGAACUGAGACACGGUCCAGACUCCUACGGGAGGCAGCAGUGGGGAAUAUUGGACAAUGGGCGCAAGCCUGAUCCAGCCAUACCGCGUGGGUGAAGAAGGCCUUCGGGUUGUAAAGCCCUUUUGUUGGGAAAGAAAAGCAGCAGGUUAAUACCCCGCUGUUCUGACGGUACCCAAAGAAUAAGCACCGGCUAACUUCGUG
rnacentral:rRNA from 1 species